CUAGAGUGUGAUAGAGGUAAGUGGAAUUUCUAGUGUAGAGGUGAAAUUCGUAGAUAUUAGAAAGAACACCAAAUGCGAAGGCAACUUUCUGGGUCACUACUGACACUGAGGAGCGAAAGCAUGGGUAGCGAAGAGGAUUAGAUACCCUCGUAGUCCAUGCCGUAAACGAUGUGUGCUAGACGUUGGAAAUAAUAUUUUUCUAGUGUCGCAGCGAAAGACAUUAAGCACACCGCCUGGGGAGGUACGACCGCAAGGUUAAAACUCAAAUGAAUUGACGGGGACCCGCACAAGCGGUGGAGCAUGUGGUUUAAUUCGAUGCAACGCGAAAAACCUUACCUACUCUUGACAUACUUGGAAGCUCUUGUAAUGAGAGUGUGCCUUUUGGAGCCAAGAUACAGGUGCUGCAUGGCU
rnacentral:rRNA from 1 species